rnacentral:rRNA from 1 species
AGGGGACGGCUAUAGAUUGUUCUUGGCGCUCGGGAUCUCGUAACGGGGGGGCCGUAGAGUGUUUUCCUAACACGCUGCCCUGCACUCUGGGACAAGCCCUGGAAACGGGGUCUAAUACCGGAUACUGACCCGCUUGGGCAUCCAAGCGGUUCGAAAGCUCCGGCGGUGCAGGAUGAGCCCGCGGCCUAUCAGCUUGUUGGUGAGGUAAUGGCUCACCAAGGCGACGACGGGUAGCCGGCCUGAGAGGGCGACCGGCCACACUGGGACUGAGACACGGCCCAGACUCCUACGGGAGGCAGCAGUGGGGAAUAUUGCACAAUGGGCGAAAGCCUGAUGCAGCGACGCCGCGUGAGGGAUGACGGCCUUCGGGUUGUAAACCUCUUUCAGCAGGGAAGAAGCGAAAGUGACGGUACCUGCAGAAGAAGCGCCGGCUAACUACGUGCCAGCAGCCGCGGUAAUACGUAGGGCGCGAGCGUUGUCCGGAAUUAUUGGGCGUAAAGAGCUCGUAGGCGGCUUGUCACGUCGGUUGUGAAAGCCCGGGGCUUAACCCCGGGUCUGCAGUCGAUACGGGCAGGCUAGAGUUCGGUAGGGGAGAUCGGAAUUCCUGGUGUAGCGGUGAAAUGCGCAGAUAUCAGGAGGAACACCGGUGGCGAAGGCGGAUCUCUGGGCCGAUACUGACGCUGAGGAGCGAAAGCGUGGGGAGCGAACAGGAUUAGAUACCCUGGUAGUCCACGCCGUAAACGGUGGGCACUAGGUGUGGGCGACAUUCCACGUCGUCCGUGCCGCAGCUAACGCAUUAAGUGCCCCGCCUGGGGAGUACGCCGCAAGGCUAAAACUCAAAGGAA